GUGGGGAAUAUUGGACAAUGGGCGAAAGCCUGAUCCAGCCAUGCCGCGUGAGUGAUGAAGGCCUUAGGGUUGUAAAGCUCUUUUGUCCGGGAAGAUAAUGACUGUACCGGAAGAAUAAGCCCCGGCUAACUUCGUGCCAGCAGCCGCGGUAAUACGAAGGGGGCUAGCGUUGCUCGGAAUCACUGGGCGUAAAGGGCGCGUAGGCGGACUUUUAAGUCGGAGGUGAAAGCCCAGGGCUCAACCCUGGAAUUGCCUUCGAUACUGGGAGUCUUGAGUUCGGGAGAGGUUGGUGGAACUGCGAGUGUAGAGGUGAAAUUCGUAGAUAUUCGCAAGAACACCGGUGGCGAAGGCGGCCAACUGGUCCGAAACUGACGCUGAGGCGCGAAAACGUGGGGAGCAAACAGGAUUAGAAACCCUUGUAGUCC
rnacentral:rRNA from 1 species